ACGCGGACCUCGGGCAGGUUGACCUUCAUGGCCAGCUCCUCGCGGCUGUACACGUCGGGGUAGUGGGACUUCUCGAAGGCGCGCUCCAGCUCGUGGAGCUGCACCUGCCUAUUUCUUUGAGGUACCAACCAUCUUUUGUCCCAGCUAAAGUAACAAACACAAUAGCGUCAAGAGUGGUUUUCAGCCUGCAUUUAGCUUCGAAGAUGCUUCCAUUUCGAGCCUGAGGAGGGUGUAUGUGAAUGAAAGACAUCAGUACUGCUUCUUCCAGAUACACUAGCUACUGAAAGAGAAGACAUCUGAAGCUGAAGUCAGUCUGCAGGUGGGAAAUCAUUCUCCAGACCAGUGAUGUUCAGCAGGGACUGCUACCCUGAGAGAUGAACAGGACUUUCAA